GAGACAGACUGUGCCCACACCGCACUCCCUCGGGUCCCAGCAUCUCAGCGGCAGGUAAUCCAGGGACCCUGUGGUUACACUGUGACCACCCAGAUAAUCCGGAAGAAGCCUCCUCCUUUAAGACCAGCUGAUAAGCAACUUCAGUUCCACCCGCCACCUUGCAUUUCCUUACGUGAUCUCGGGUGGAAGGAGGCUCUUCAGGAGAACUCGAGGAGCUGUGUUCUGCAUCUAGUGGAGGUGUAGACAGUGAGAGACAACCCAGACAGCGGACCCAGGCGACGGGCAGGGGCUGAUGUGCACGUGGAAAAUUCUAGAAGGUAAAUCUAGUUUAUUUAAAGUGUUUUUCUCUGAGUAGUAGAAUCGUGCUCGAUAUUUUUUUGUUCCUUUUGUUUAUAUGUGCUUUCUAAAUUGGCUGAAACUGAUAAGUUAAUUUUACCCCCUUAGAUGUUAUUGAAAUUUAAGCCUUUAGA